UUCAGUUGCGUUCCUCGCUUGCGGGCGCUUGGAUUCGAUGUGUCUCUCCUUUUUUGGAUUUUGUGUGUUCGUGCUCCUGACUUUUGAGGGCUGCAUGUCUUUAUGCUUUGGUUCGCUCUCCUCUGAGUUGCAUGACACAGCUGCAGAAAACUGGUCUGCUCAUGUGAAUAAUGUGCUGCAGCAUCGUUGACACAAACAUGUGCACAAAACGCGUUUUCCUUUUCUUUGUGUUUUCCACGUGUGCUUGCUUCCCCACGUUAUGCCGCUCACCUCAGCGCGUGGCAUCUCAGGGGGCCACUACACAGCACGGUGGGCGGAAGCCGAGCAGCCCUUCUAUCCCUGUCAAUGCCCUGCCACUUCUGGCGGUGACGCGGCCAAUCACCUACCACGUAGGGGGGAGGUCAGAGCGAUGUAUCGCUACUGAUGUCGGCGCUCGGGUUCUGGAUGGCGUGGCAUCGGAGCGACCUCGCGACAGUGAACACGCUUGUGCCAUCCAUGCGAUUACGCAGAGUGUCAGUGUCACUCGACCGUGUCUCACACGGCCCGGCUGGUGGCUGGGGGGCCUGAGCGCCACGCUGAGAUAUGCGAGACGCGUCGGCCGCCAUGAUGGAGCGGCUGUGAUCCGAUCCUCGAGGCGCGGAGCUGGUGGAUUCGCCUGGAAGCAGAGGCUGCGCUCGCAUAGGUGGGUGGGCACCUUGCUUUAACGCGCGAGCCCACCGCUGCUUUGCACCACGCAACGGAGCCUCUGCCAGGGCCGACGGGGGUGGAGAGACAUCGUGCUUGGUUUGAUCGCGGUCAUAAGACAGCGAACGGAAGCAUUCAACGGAAACAAAUUUUUGUUUGCACCCGUCAUGAUGCUGACUACCAUACUGUGGUGCCAGGGCUCAGUUCCCGCUCUUUGGGGGGGGAGCCAUGGAGUCAUGCAGCCUGCUCUGAGGUACGACUGCGGUCUCUUGGUGUCGGCGGACAAGCCUGUGCUGGCGCUGAGCCGAAGCAACUUGGGGGCAUGAGCACGCUUGGAAACGCUCGCUGCGGUUGUUGUCGAGGAUUCGACCGCUUUGCUUGCACUUCCACUCCUGUCAGAGGCGUGCGGAUACCGGGGAAGGCGAAGCGCCGCUGCCGCCACAGACUCAGGGCAGCGCCCCGCCUGUCGCGGCAGAUGCGGGCAAGGUAUCCAGGCACGCCCCCGGGCAACAACGCCGCCAUGAUGCAGGCACCGUGAUGCGGAAGUGCGAGCAGUGUGCGCCGGCGCUGUCAAGCACCGCUGGCAUGGUGUGUCUGAUGCGAGCAAAGCAUCCAGGGGCCGGCCGAGCACGGGCGAUGGGGGGAGGGGAAGAAGGCGCAUGCAGGGCCAUGCCGAUGCCCCCUCUCCCGCAGUGCAUGUGUGCGGAGCAUGCGGCGUCUCCUGCAUCCGACCGAGUGGGCUGAUGCGGCGCGGACGCCGGGAGGCAUGACGAGGGCACCCGGGACGGCACCACCGAGCCAUCGGGUGUGCACUGCGGAGAGCCGCCACGCCACAUUACGGGAUGCCGCGGUUGGAGCGGACUGGGGGGCGGGCGGGCGAAGCACGGCAUGCAGACAGUGUGUGCCGGGCCUCAGAAGGACCCUGACCCCUGAGGCUUUCGAGGCUCCUCCUUGCGUUCGUGCGGCACGCACCUGGACCGCCCACCCACCACGUGCACGACAGGCGCCGAUCGCGCAGCGGGCACAGGAAGAGUAGGCGAUGAAGGGCAGGGCGAGCGUGCUGGACGCAUGGCGCGAUUCGACGAGCGGGAGAGCCACGUCCCAGGCGACGAGCAUUUAGCCCGAGUGCGACAGAGUUAGGUGAGCGGUGGCUGCAUGCCGAUGCUUGUCGACAUGUUCGUGUUGGGCCGACACACGGCGGAAAGGAAAAGCCAACCUGCAGGCACUCAUCACGUCGACGUGCGCUUAUUUUGCUCUUUACGCUUGUGUGUCUCUGCUUGUGCAUUGUUGACUGGCCUCUUGCUGUUGUGCGCUGCUCUUGUCGCUAUCUGUUGUGUCGGUGUUGGACGUGCAUUUUGCCGGGGUGAGAUGACACCACAUCGUUGUGUUCCUGCCUCUUCGGAGUGGAUUCUUCUCGUUCUGUCCGUCCUUGUGCAUGAGUGCGCGAUUCUGUCUCUCUUUUGCCGACUUCCCUUUUGGUGCAUCACGCGUUUUCGGAAAUGGCCGGUGCUCCUGUCGGUUGCACCGCCUGGGCUCUGUCCGAGUGUUUUUCUCUGCGCCCUUUGGAAUGCUUGUCUUAUGUUGUGUCACACAACAGCUGUACGCUUGGCUGUUGAUGGUUUCGUGGAUGCCCGCCUACGAGGAGCGUUGGGGUCUCCCUGCUGCUGCUGUUUCGUGACUUUGAGCGGCGCUGGUUGCUGGCCUUGUCGCGUAUGCCACUUUUGCGUUGUCUCAUGUGCCGUUUAACAUGCCAUUCGCUGUGUUUAGUGUGUGUUCCCAUUUUGUUCCUUUUCGUGGUCUUGUCGGUUGCCUAUCCUCUCUCUCGGGUGGGCCUGUCCGUGUUGAUGGAUGCGCGUCCUGUGUGCCUGUGUGUGUGUGUGUGCUUGAGGAGCGUCCCUUCAUAUUUUUUUUUCGCCUCCGAAAGGCUGUUCGGUGAGCAUGUGAGACUAGCUCGAAUAGGCGACAUGUGUAAAGAUUUUGUGAUCGUUUGUUAUCCGUAUUUGUGAGAUGCGAACACCAUGGUGACAGCCACUACUACCACGACCACCAAUAUCUCCCCUCGCCGUUUUCUACUCCGAGUGCUUUCUUCUGUUGCUUCGUCGUUGCCAUGUGUGGCUUUGGCGUUACGCCUACUCCUGUGCAUCUGUGGUGCUUUUUUCGCUGGGUCCAGUCUCCACUUCGCUCUCUACCUCACUGUAUCCAUUCUGUUUUCGCUGCUCGUCCCUGCGCUUUUCUACUCAAAUACCAGACCAGCUGUGAUGUUGUAGCGGGGGCGCGCACGCUCAUAUCGCGCCGAGAAGGAAUCUCGAGCGAACGAGCAUCAGCCAUGGUGUGAGGGACAGCGCCACAGACGCUACCGUGGGACUGGUUUCCUCAAACUUCGCCUGUCUUCUCAUGCUGACGGACGUGCGACUCAACGGUGAUGAAAAUGCUAUACUUUCACAGCUUCCCCCCUUCCGGCUUCUCCGCACGCACAUGUGUGCAGGCAAUGGCACAGAAAGCGCUUGCCAUCCAGGAGCAUGCUUGGCCAACUGCGUGCGCAUGCGAGGCUCGGAAAGGGGGUUCGACAGUGCAGUUCGCUGACACUUGAACUUUUCGUCUUCUCAUCUGAUUUGUGUCUUCCCCCCCCCUCCACUCGCCCAACGGCCAUGUUGGACUCUCUCUCUUCCGCCUUCUUUCUCUCACCUGCGCGACUCACGUCAUUAUGGGGCGCGCCUUCUUUUGGACUCGUUUGUGUCCGUCUUUGGCGCUGUCUCUCGUGCGUCUCUAUGCGUCUGAACCCAG
rnacentral:misc_RNA from 1 species